rnacentral:rRNA from 1 species
UACGUAGGGGGCAAGCGUUGUCCGGAAUCAUUGGGCGUAAAGAGCUCGUAGGCGGUCCGAUAAGUCGGCUGUGAAAGUCAGGGGCUCAACCCUUGGAAGCCGGCCGAUACUGUCGGACUAGAGUCCGGAAGAGGCGAGUGGAAUUCCCGGUGUAGCGGUGAAAUGCGCAGAUAUCGGGAGGAACACCGAUGGCGAAGGCAGGUCUCUGGGCCACUACUGACGCUGAGAAGCGAAAGCAUGGGGAGCGAACAGG